rnacentral:lncRNA from 1 species
GAGCUGAGCUGCCCCAUGAGUGUGAAAGGCACCUCAAGCCGUUGCAUUUCCUCCAGUGCAGUUCAGCAUGGACUUGCCUUGGCCCCAGCCUGCGCAUGUGGGAAUUGCUAUACGAAACUCCAUCUCCUCCCCGCCAAGGCACGUUGAAUCUUUGGCAGCUCAUGAGCGGCCGGCAGACCACAAGUUCAGAAACACCCGUCUCGUCCUCUCCUCCUAACAGCUAACAGCGACUCCCGACCUGAGCGAAUUCUGCCAUGGCCGAAAGCAGAGGAUGUUUGCAGUGCAGGGAGCUGAUCUGCUGACUUACCCUUCAUCUCUCGCAAGAACGCCAGAUAUGGCUGCAACUCAGGCAUUUAUGUGGAUCAUCCCCGUGGCUUUUCCAUUGCUCUGGGGUCCUGUGAUGUCCCACCUGGCAGGAGCUGGCGUAUCUUAGACGUCCAUGAAAUGAAAGGUGAGGUGCUUCCUCGGAGAGUGCUAAACACCAGGGAGGGAGCUUGACUUAGACCAGAAAACAGCAUUGGUGAGAUAUCCUGAGAAGAGAGAAAGUGACUGCAGACUUGUAC